UGAUUGGUCAAAUUUAAUUUGAGAUGACGUAUUAGACGUAUGUCGAUACUUAAAACUCUUAAACUCGAACUCGUGUUCGUGGUUCGUUUGUUCGGCGUUGUAGGGUGUUGUUGUUGUUUUUAAAAUCUCAAAAUGUAUGAUUUAACAAAUGUAAUUACGAAACUAAAUGAAACCUUUUGUGUUGUGCUAGAGAAGUCCGAAAAAGCAUGUGCUACUUUGCGGGCCAACGUUAAUUCUGAAGAAGAGGUUCAAGCAUUUUUGUUGGUAUUUAGCGACAUAACCAAAACAAAUUGGAUCGUACAUCAUAAUGUACCUUCUUCACAAAGAAUAGUGUUUCACAAAGCUUGGUUAUGUCAUCACAGUUGUAAACAUAAGUCCAUCCACCAGAAAACAGAAAGAAAUACUGGAUGUAGCGCUGCAUUGGAUAUUAAAAUCAAAUUGAAUACUGUUAACACUCGCCGCAGUGAUAAAUAUUUGGCUAGAUCUCCACCACUAUGUGCAGUUGUGAGAUUUAAAAUUGAGCACAACCACAAUAUUAAUACAAGUAGUGUUUUAAGAUUACUUAGGGUAUCAAAAGAGGUAUGUGUGGCAGCUGUACCUACUUAGACCAUUUCUAUAUUUGAACUUCGGUAGCUCAGGUGUCGCGGAAUUUCAAAGGUGGUGCAGCUAUUCGCGUUCAACCAACUUCUAUUGCACGAUGAAGAAAUGGAGUCACCAAGGGCUCAAAUAGCUGCUGGACGCCCUCCAACAAAAUUUAAGUCUAACAGAGUUAAAAAAAGGCCAAGAAAUUUACAUAAAAAUAUUAUGGCAAAUUUACCCCGUGCCAAAUCUCAUGGUAGGUAACUAAUCAAU